AAAGAGGGUAAGCGAAUGACUUGUUCUACUUGCCAUGUGGUUGGACAUAAUUGUAAAGGAUGUCCUCUGAGAAAGGCCCAUGCAAAUGCACCUGAAGCUCAAUCUCAAGCCAAUUCCAGUGGAUCAAGGC